rnacentral:rRNA from 1 species
UUCCGGUUGAUCCUGCCGGAGGCGACCGCUUUUGGAGUUCGAUUAAGCCAUGCGAGUAGAAAGAAAUUAGAUUCUUUGCGAACUGCUCAGUAACACGUGGAUAACCUGCCCUAUGCUCCGGAAUAACCUCGGGAAACUGAGAAUAAUACCGAAUAGUUCACUACGCCUGGAACGGUGAGUGGAUGAAAGCUCCGGCGGCAUAGGAUGGGCCUGCGGCGUAUCAGGUUGUAGGGGGUGUAACGUACCCUCUAGCCCUCUACGCGUACGGGUGUUGGGAGACAUAGCCCGGAGAUGGAUUCUGAGACACGAAUCCAGACCCUACGGGGUGCAGCAGGCGCGAAAACUUGGCAAUGCGAGAAAUCGUGACCAGGGAACUCCAAGUGCAUCGGGUAAGACCGGUGCUUUUCUUGACUCUAAAUAGGUCUUGGAAUAAGGGGUGGGUAAGGACGGUGCCAGCCGCCGCGGUAAUACCGGCGCCUCAAGUGGUAGUCGCUUUUAUUGGGCCUAAAACGUCCGUAGCCGGUCUGAUACAUUCGUGGGUAAAUCAACCAGCUUAACUGGUUGAAUUCUGCGAGGACGGUCAGACUUGGGACCGGGAGAGGUGUGGGGUACGCUCAGGGUAGGGGUAAAAUCCUGUCAUCCUGAGCGGACCACCUGUUGCGAAGGCGCCACACUAGAACGGAUCCGACGGUCAGGGACGAAGCCUAGGGGCACGAACCGGAUUAGAUACCCGGGUAGUCCUAGGUGUAAACGCUGUGGACUUGAUGUUGGGGGUGCUCCGAGCACUCUCAGUGUCGAAGCGAAGGUGAUAAGUCCACUGCCUGGGAAGUACGGUCGCAAGGCUGAAACUUAAAGGAAUUGGCGGGGGAGCACCGCAACCUGAGGAUUGUGCGGUUUAAUUGGAUCAACGCCGGA